GGGCAUCUACCCUGUACCCAUACUACUGUGACAGCUCAGGGCAAGGGGAAAAACGGCAAGCAUCUGUGGACUCAAGGAUCACAGAGCUUCUCACAGAAAGAAGGGAUGGAACAUUGCUCACGAUUAAGUGGACUCCCAAUCGAGUGAUUUUCCAUUCCUGGUGAAGUGGUCGCAGUGAGGGUCACCGGGACUAUCCCUCAGGCAUCAGGAAAAAUACAGACCCAAACAGAAGCAGUGUCUGCCCACGGGCCAGCAAGUGCCGAAAUAUCACGGGUCCUGUUCUGAUGCGGGGUUCUCCUCCCUUAGGAGGAGAAGGAAGAGGAGGAGAGAAGCUGAAGUUGUUGAUUGAGCUCUCAGCGUUGACAUGAGGAGUCCAUGAAACAAUCUACAGGAAGGCACCCCAAACGAAGCCUGGCUAGGAGUAGACAUUCAAUAGGUGCAUGGCACCCUGCCUUCCAGAGACAAGGUUCCCAACAACUGUGCUGAAUGAAUGGAGGAAAAAUGAACCCAAACCAAGAACACAAAUCCUUGUGUGUGAACAUAAACCUACUUCCAAAAUUCUUGAGGAAUCCCUAACUCAAGUCCCCCAAGUCCUGUUUGGUUGUGCACAGAAAGAGAUAUUACAAGAGGAGCUGUGGGAACCUGAAAAAAUGAGUGGGGAGUGGCAGUCCCUUCUUAUUAAUG
rnacentral:lncRNA from 1 species